GACGAACGCUGGCGGCGUGCUUAACACAUGCAAGUCGAGCGGUGAGGCCCUUUCGGGGUACGACGAGCGGCGAACGGGUGAGUAACACGUGGGUGACCUGCCCUCAGCUCUGGGAUAAGCCUGGGAAACCGGGUCUAAUACUGGAUAUGACUCCAUGACGCAUGUUGUGGGGUGGGAAAGCCUUGUGCGGCUGAGGAUGGGCCCGCGGCCUAUCAGCUUGUUGGUGGGGUGAUGGCCUACCAAGGCGA
rnacentral:rRNA from 1 species